rnacentral:lncRNA from 1 species
GAUUAUCAGGUGAGUCCUCCAAUUCUUUCACACAUGCCUGGAACAGGUAAAAGCACUUUUGCAAAGAAACGUCGUGCAAAACGACUGAAAGUCUGUCACAGAUGUGCCAGAUGGACUUGUAAUGCGACAUGUCGUUCUUUAGGAAUGGUAUCUGUAAACCGUGAAGAUAAAUACAAUUCAUUAAGGAUGGCCUGAGUAAGGGGUCUUUAGAUAAUCUUUAUUGACCUUGAGACCCCUAGUGGAGAUGUGCAUCGUGCAAUUCAUGAUUUAUGGCCACAAUUCCAUAAAGAACAUGAUCGACUUAGUCUUGGGAAUCUGACUAAAAAAGACCCUGUUUGCCAGUUUUUAAGAAAACUGGAUGGGAAGCCUAUCCCCGACCCAUAGAGGGCGUUUAAACUAUUCUUAGACGUAAAACCAAGGAAAGAUGUGAGCCACAAUCACAACUACCUGUACAUACACUGCCUUUUCAAAAUAAAUAAAUAGAGAGAGAGAGAGAGAGACUACAGCUGGCCUACAUAUAGGUGGUAUCAUUUCAUUUUCAAUUUCUCAUCUAUAAAUUCUUCUCUUCCUUCCCUUCAUUUCUACUCAACCCAUACAUUCAUAAAAUAUAGAAGUGUGUAGAAAUGGUAGGUUCCUCAAGUCAUCACAUAAACAAUAUUUGUGUUUUCGGCGGAUCCAGUCCUGGGAAAGAAAAGGAGUUUUUAGAAUCAGCAAAUCAUCUUGGUCAGGUACUAGCUGAGCGAAAGAUUCAUUUAGUGUAUGGGGAGGCAGCCUUGGGUUAAGGGGGAGUGUCAAUAGCUGUUUUUAGGAGGUAGUCAAGUUUUGGGGGUUGUCCCCAAAGCUUUAGCACAAGGGGACAUCAUUGGAAAAACAAUUGGAGAGGAAUUACAGGUCCCACAAUGUCUGAUCGACUGAAUGCCAUGUUUAACCAUGCUGAUGCCUUCAUUGCCUUACCAGGUGGUCUGGGCACAUUGGAAGAGAUCUUUCAUAUUUCCUCUUGGGCCCAACUGCACAUUCACCAUAAACCCAUAGGUUUGUUAAAUGUUAAUGGUUUUUAUGAUAAGUUGUUGUCUUUCUUGAUCAUGCUGUGGAACAGGAAUUUCUAACAUCUUCGGCACGACAAAUCAUAAUCUCUGCUGCUACUGCUGAACAAUUGAUUGACCAACUACAAUUUUCUCAUCCCUGUAAUUAAUCCCUCCAUGAGUCCAUAAAUUGGUCAACUAAGGAAAGCCGUAAAAAGCUUAGAUUGGAUUUGAGCCUUCGUUUUGUAAAAAUUUGUGUCUUUUGGUUUUAUUAUUGUGUUUUUUGUUUCUUAUAUUUGUUUAAGUGUGUUUCAGGUUUGUCAGUGUUCGUUAUUUCAGGUGAUGUCUUCUAUACUCUAUCUUUCUACCUUAAACAUUGAGGACAAUGUCUCAUUUUGGUUGGGGGAAAGGGUAGUAGUUGAUAAAAAAAAAAAAACUGUGUUUUCUAUUCAUAAACAUUUGCAAAACUGUUGUUACUAGGAUGGCAGAGUAAAAGGAGUUCUUUUGUUAAAGUGACUCUUGAGACGCAUCUUAGUAAACAUUCUUAACAAGGUCUAUCAGCUUCUUGAAAUAUUCAGGUUUACAAACUCUCGUAUUGUUAUCACUUGAUUCUGCUCAUAUGCUCAUUUAACAAGUAUUCUUAAAUCUUCAUUUUACACACACACACUUUAACAUAUGAUUGUGGGUUGCACAUUGGAUUAUUACAUUAUUUAUGUUCUUUUGUUAAAGGUAACAACUAAGGGAAAGGAUAGUAUAAAUUUGCAAAAAAAAAAAAAAAUAUGAUGAUAAUAAAAACGUAGAUAAGUUUGGUUUCGUAGCCUCCCUAACCUAAGCAAUUAAGCCCGAAGGGGUGUUUUAACACCUAAUACCCUAAAGUCAACUGACUUGGGAGCUAUUGGCCCAAAGCUUGUUACAUGGGUUAAGGAGAAAAGCUUAAGGGAAUCAAACAUUGCACUAUCUACGUAUCAGUAUCUGCAACCCGAGUUACUAAGCUCGUAGGGGUGUCUCAACACCUAAUGCCCUAAGACCAACUGGUCUGGGAGUCAUUAGCUGAAAACUCGUUACAUGGGUUAAAGAUGCAUUGUGUUGUAUGUGUAUAUAAAUAAAAAAAAAAAAAAAAUAAUAAUCCCAACCCAAGGAAGUUAACCUUAACAUUAGAACAUAAUAUUGUUUUCUUCCAACAAAAGCCCCAUCAUCUAUGUUUUCAUACAUUGAGCACAUAAAAAGAAGGUUUAUUAAUAUCUUCUUUAAGAUAUAUUAAGCAGGAAUAUGAGUUUAAUGAGAGUUUGUUUAUCUGGAUAGAUUAAUGGAAGUUGAAUGUUGAAUGCCUUGCUUUGUGGAACUUGCAAAUUUAUUUUCUAUUUUAACGCUUUGAUUACUAGGGACUAGUAAUAAACUGGUUGAGGGGUGUGAUUAGUACUUAAAAGUGCAUGUUUAUCAAGGUUUUAUAUCAUCAUUUUGCACUUAAAGUAUCAAUAACUCCUUAACUAAAGCAUGUUUUAUAAUAACAAGUCUAAUAUAUAAAUACCUUAAUUAUGGUAAAUGUUCAUCUUAAAUGCAGGCCUAUCACAUAAAUGAAAGGAUUGAUUGAUGAGUUCAAGUAUUGAAAUUGAAAGGACAAAGAGAGGGCCAAACUUAGAAAAGAGAUGUUGGUGCAGUCCAAACUGGAACACUGUUUGGUAGUUGGGUCAUAUCUCGAGUUCUAGAUGUCCAAAUGAUCUCAAAUUUUGACACAGAUUCAGUAAGACAUAAACCUACAACUUUCAUGUGGAGGCCAAGAUCUAAGAAGACCGUUUUCAAGUCCAAAUUAUAGCAACAACAUAGAAGUUCGAAUUUGUCCUGCAGCCCAGGCACUGUUCAGUGUUCAGCCCAUAUCUCGAGUUCUAGAAGUCCAAAUGACCUCAAUUUUUUUUCCUGGAAAGUUAAGACAAUUUCCUACAACUUUUAUAAGUGUAGGUGGAUCCAGUUCUGAUGCUAGCAAUGACAAAAAGAUAAGGAUUUUCACCAAGUCAAGAGUUGGCCACCCACUCAACAAUUAGUCAUCAAAUCAAUAGUUCCAAAUUUUGCCCUAUAAAAGGAGGCAUUUGCCAUGCAUUCUGGGGCUUGGUUGUUCAAAUCAAGAACUUAUUC